rnacentral:tRNA from 1 species
AGUUUUAUAGUCAACAAUGAUUCUAAAUUGCAAAUUUAGAGGUAGGAGGGGUACCUUCUUAAAGCUU